rnacentral:rRNA from 1 species
AGAGUUUGAUCAUGGCUCAGAUUGAACGCUGGCGGCAGGCCUAACACAUGCAAGUCGAACGGUAACAGGAAGCAGCUUGCUGCUUUGCUGACGAGUGGCGGACGGGUGAGUAAUGUCUGGGAAACUGCCUGAUGGAGGGGGAUAACUACUGGAAACGGUGGCUAAUACCGCAUAACGUCGCAAGACCAAAGAGGGGGACCUUCGGGCCUCUUGCCAUCAGAUGUGCCCAGAUGGGAUUAGCUAGUUGGUGAGGUAACGGCUCACCAAGGCGACGAUCCCUAGCUGGUCUGAGAGGAUGACCAGCCACACUGGAACUGAGACACGGUCCAGACUCCUACGGGAGGCAGCAGUGGGGAAUAUUGCACAAUGGGCGCAAGCCUGAUGCAGCCAUGCCGCGUGUAUGAAGAAGGCCUUCGGGUUGUAAAGUACUUUCAGCGGGGAGGAAGGUGUUGUGGUUAAUAACCGCAGCAAUUGACGUUACCCGCAGAAGAAGCACCGGCUAACUCCGUGCCAGCAGCCGCGGUAAUACGGAGGGUGCAAGCGUUAAUCGGAAUUACUGGGCGUAAAGCGCACGCAGGCGGUCUGUCAAGUCGGAUGUGAAAUCCCCGGGCUCAACCUGGGAACUGCAUUCGAAACUGGCAGGCUUGAGUCUUGUAGAGGGGGGUAGAAUUCCAGGUGUAGCGGUGAAAUGCGUAGAGAUCUGGAGGAAUACCGGUGGCGAAGGCGGCCCCCUGGACAAAGACUGACGCUCAGGUGCGAAAGCGUGGGGAGCAAACAGGAUUAGAUACCCUGGUAGUCCACGCCGUAAACGAUGUCUACUUGGAGGUUGUGCCCUUGAGGCGUGGCUUCCGGAGCUAACGCGUUAAGUAGACCGCCUGGGGAGUACGGCCGCAAGGUUAAAACUCAAAUGAAUUGACGGGGGCCCGCACAAGCGGUGGAGCAUGUGGUUUAAUUCGAUGCAACGCGAAGAACCUUACCUGGUCUUGACAUCCACGGAAGUUUCCAGAGAUGGAUUGUGCCUUCGGGAACUGUGAGACAGGUGCUGCAUGGCUGUCGUCAGCUCGUGUUGUGAAAUGUUGGGUUAAGUCCCGCAACGAGCGCAACCCUUAUCCUUUGUUGCCAGCGGUCCGGCCGGGAACUCAAAGGAGACUGCCAGUGAUAAACUGGAGGAAGGUGGGGAUGACGUCAAGUCAUCAUGGCCCUUACGACCAGGGCUACACACGUGCUACAAUGGCGCAUACAAAGAGAAGCGACCUCGCGAGAGCAAGCGGACCUCAUAAAGUGCGUCGUAGUCCGGAUUGGAGUCUGCAACUCGACUCCAUGAAGUCGGAAUCGCUAGUAAUCGUGGAUCAGAAUGCCACGGUGAAUACGUUCCCGGGCCUUGUACACACCGCCCGUCACACCAUGGGAGUGGGUUGCAAAAGAAGUAGGUAGCUUAACCUUCGGGAGGGCGCUUACCACUUUGUGAUUCAUGACUGGGGUGAAGUCGUAACAAGGUAACCGUAGGGGAACCUGCGGUUG